GCUUUAAAUAUCGCCUUUAGGCCUAAAUCGCCCGCACCUAUACGAGACGUUCUUUCACCGUAUCUUAAUCAAGCUUCAAAUCAACUGAAGGUGUACCCGGGGGUCCGGGUGAAGAUCACGGUCAAGGAGUUGCUGCGGAGGCACAGAGAGAAGGAGGCCAACAACAAGAAGCUUAAUGCGCAGAUGCAUCAGGCUUGCUUGGAACUACAGGAGCUUCGCGCGUCCACUUUCCAAAGUGGCCAUGUGGCUCCUCCUCCCUCUGUCCCCCCAGCUGAAGCCAGCAGCUGCGGGUCGCUGGCCCUCCAGCUUCGAGCCACCAUCUCGUUUCCAGUCCCUGACAGCGCGUGCAACAUCCAGAUGCAGGAGUGCGGCAUCCAGGUGCAGCAGCAGCAGCAGUUUGGGGAUGUGAUGUUGCCCGGCAACGGAUACGGUGGUACCACCUACGACACCCCUCUGCCUCCUUUUCCAACCUCCCCUCAGCCUUGGUACCACGGACUGUCCUCAGAUGCGGACUACUACGGCCAGGGGAUGGCCCCUUGCUCCUCAUUGGAGUCACUGACUUUCUGCAACCCUGUGGAUCCCAACACUUAUUCCCCACAGGACUCCUUCUCUUCCUCCUCCUCCUCCUCAUGCUAUGACUCGCCCACCAGAAUGGAGUCAAGCUUCAGCCCACAGCAAUACCACUAUCAGCACUGUGGCCCCCAGGAAUAUUACAGCUUGCCACACUGUUGGUCAGGCCAGCAGGAGAGCCCCCCCACCCCAGAAUGCGCACCUUACUUUGCUCCCACAGACUAUCCCCAGGUGUAUCCUGUAGAAGACAGCUGUUUCCAGAAGGAUUUCCCGCUGAGCUCUGAGAUGUGCUACAAUGCUUUAUGAUGAGACCGUGAACAGUAUUACUUUGUAUCCUGACUGUAAAUACGAUUUGGCUCAGUGAGGUUGUUUGCUUUGCAUUUCACUUGGUCUGCUUUACUUUAAUCAAUUCAUUUGUAAUAAAAACUAAAUGAUAUAUUUUCAUACGCUAAUGUUUUGCUGCACAAAAUAAAAAUGUGUAAAAGUCAGCACUGUGCUUGUAAUGUGCGCUUGUCUAUUGCAGAGUUUCCACUGUAAAAGUCGGGAUGUUUGCUUCAGCCAGCAGGUUCAGACUUCACCCUGUGAACAUGCCCUGUAGCCACAGGU
ensembl:lncRNA